UACGAAGGGGGCGAGCGUUGUUCGGAUUUACUGGGCGUAAAGGGUGCGUAGGCGGGUCUUUAAGUCAGGGGUGAAAUCCUGGAGCUCAACUCCAGAACUGCCUUUGAUACUGAAGAUCUUGAGUUCGGGAGAGGUGAGUGGAACUGCGAGUGUAGAGGUGAAAUUCGUAGAUAUUCGCAAGAACACCAGUGGCGAAGGCGGCUCACUGGCCCGGUACUGACGCUGAGGUGCGAAAGCGUGGGGAGCAAACAGG
rnacentral:rRNA from 1 species